rnacentral:rRNA from 1 species
CCUACGGGAGGCAGCAGUGGGGAAUAUUGGGCAAUGGACGCAAGCCUGACCCAGCAACGCCGCGUGAAUGAAGACGGCUCUCGGGUUGUAAACUUCUUUUAUCAGGGACGAAGCAAGUGACGGUACCUGAUGAAUAAGCCACGGCUAACUACGUGCCACCAGCCGCGGUAAUACGUAGGUGGCAAGCGUUAUCCGGAUUUACUGGGGGUAAAGGGCGUGUAGGCGGGAAAGCAAGUCAGAUGUGAAAACCAUGGGCUCAACCUGUGGACUGCAUUUGAAACUGUUUUUCUUGAGUGCUGGAGAGGCAGACGGAAGUCCUAGUGUAGCGGUGAAAUGCGUAGAUAUUAGGAGGAACACCAGUGGCGAAGGCGGUCUGCUGGACAGCAACUGACGCUGAGGCGCGAAAGCGUGGGGAGCAAACAGGAUUAGAUACCCUUGUAGUC